GCUCGGGUGGCGGAAUUGGUAGACGCGCUAGACUAAGGAUCUAGUGGCCGUUAAGGCCGUGGGGGUUCGAUUCCCCCUCGAGCACCA
rnacentral:tRNA from 1 species